GCCGAGGAGACAAUAGCAGACAUGCUGUGUGGGCUCAGCCGGGAGACCCCUGGAGAGGCGGGUGAGUAAUGGGAACCUGUAGGCAGAGUGAUGGGACUGAACCCUCCGGAACUGCUGCCCAGAGAAGAGACAAGGAUGGCCACUCCCUGGAGACCCAGAGCCCCGAGAGAGUGCAGGGCUGGGACACCCGGCCCCCGGUGGGCCCAUGAGAGGGCUGCUGUCCUGCAGCCAGGGACUGAGUCCCCCCGGGGCUGUCCCCUGUCCCGCACGGCAGGGGCAGCAGGCAGAUCUGGAGUUCCAGAGGGCAGCCCUCAGCCCCUCAGAGGUGCCUCAGGGAGGUGCGUCCCCUCUCUGCAUGGGCAUCAGCUGGGGGGAGUGAGCUCCCGGCCCAGAGACGUGAGAGCAGAGGCUGAGCUCAGGGUGGUGUGGAGGGAGCUCCUACAGUAGGCGGGAGGCUGCACUCCUGGCAGGAGGCAGAAGCCCCGGCCCCGCCCCGGCCCGGCCCGGGGUCUGGCUGGGGAGCCCCGGGGUUCUGGGAAUGCAGUGGGGCAGGUAUCACACAGCUUCCACAUUCUUAAGUGGGCCUAGGAUGGGUGCUGUGGGAGGGGCUCUGGAGCAGACAUGGUUGCUCCAUCUGUCUGUCUGGCCGCCUGUCUUUCCAGCCUUCUCCUGCUGGGCUACCUUCCUAACCCUGCUCCUGCCCUACCCCCGACCCCAGCCCGAGCUUAUCAAGAGCCGGGAACCGGUCAUCCUUCACUCAGUGCCCUGGGACUACUCCUGUCAAUCCCUUCCCACACUCAACAUACUCUUAAUGGUACCUCUUUGAAAUAGUUCCGAGGGUAAGGGCUGUGGUCCUAGUGGACCGAAGGAAACAGGCUCAGAGAGGGGUGGUGGCCCACCCAAGGCCCCACAGCUACAGUGCAGUGUCCAAGCAGGACUAGCCCCAGAUGACUUUUAUGGCACAGCUACCUCCAUCUUGCUUCCGAGGGCCCGGUGAACUUAGGCUCCCACCCCGCCCCCCCCCCCCCAUGGCAAGGGGCAGGGACAGGGUCACCCCCUGGCCCCCAGAUAAUAACAUGAAUAAUGUAGCUAAUAGCUGUUGAGAUCUUACUCUGUGCCAGGCUCUGUUCUAAGCUCUUUCUGUGCAUUUUCUCAUUUAAUUUGCACAACACUGUGAGUUUGGUACUAUUUUUCUCUCCAUUUUCCAGCUGGGGAAACUGAGGCAUGGAGGUGUUAAGUGACUUGUCCAAGGCUACACAGCCAGAAGUAGCAAAGCUGGGAUGUUCCCCAUGUGGUCUGCCCCGGCUUCCUCCCGGCGACUACACUGUAAAUGGAGGCAUUGCUCCCCUGGCCUGGGUAUAUCUAUCCUCUUGACCUAAGGCCCAGGUGAGUGGGGUGACCUUGUCCUCCAGUGGUCAGAGCCACAAGUGCAACAGCGCCCUGGAGACCUCCCCUGGAGCACUGCCAGGGAGGUUGUCUUCCCUCACCUCAUGGGCCUCAUGGGCCUGUGGCCUCCACCUAGGCUCAGGUCUCAGCAUUGCCUGCCUGGACCUUUGCCCCAGUCUCUUUCUUGGCCUUCUAGCCUCCACCCCACUUUCCCAUCCUGCCCUAGGAGGGAACUUUCUAAAACUCAAAUCUGAUCACAGCUCCUUAUCUUGGCAUUCAAAGCUUAUCUUGGCAUCUCCCUGGCUUUUUCUCUCUCUGUUGACUUAUUGGACCCCCAUCCUCACCACAGCAGCCCCCACCCUAGACUCCUUCCCAGGCCACAGAGCCUCUUGAGUACACCUGCCACAUUUGAUGUUCAGCACUAAGGCUUUUUUUUUUUUUUUUUUUUAGAAAAGUCCAAAGGUGGAGCUUAGGUACAGUGGGAUCCAGGUGCUCAGUUUACAUCAUUAGGACUCUGGGUCUCUGCUUUGGUUUAGGCAAUCUUCAUUUCCAGGCAGACUCUUUCCUUUCCUUGAGGUGCCCAGAGGGCCCCAUAACCUUUGAGCUUAAGGUCAACCAGGUCAGUCGUCUCUAAGGAAAGACAACCUGUUUCCAAUAGUUCCAGAAAACAUCCCAGGGCCAGCUCUUGUUGGCCCAGCUUGGAUCACAUGCUCACCCUUGAACAAUCACUAGGCCUCUGACUGGCUGGCCAGGCCUGGUCGAGUGGCCUCCCCAGGAGCAGGGGAGACAAGGAUAGCCAACAGGUGGCCACUCCAUACACCCUGCACAUUUUGCAGGGAAGGCUGGGCUAUAAGAAGUCAGGCCACUUGCAGAGCUCCUCAGUGAGAGCCUGGCUUGGGGUUGGGGUCUGUGGAAUGCACUACCCAGUGCCCUUUCUCUGUCCCCGAUGGACUCCUGCCUGCACAUGCCCUGGGAGCCUCGUUCACCACCCACUAACCCUAAGCCCUUGCGGAAAAGGAUGUGACCAGGGUUGGGUGCACUGGAGGCCUGAAUGCGGAUUUUGGCAGGAAGCCCCACCCCCAGCCCUCCCAGUGUUCACUCCCCUCUGACUCCUGGCCACAAAGUGGUCUUUGUUCCCAGGGCCUGCUGGGCCUCAGUGAGUAUCGCUUGGGCCUGGGAAGGCUCAGGCAGGGUAUGCAUGUGUGUUGUAGAGAUUGGGAAGGGUAGUCCUUCUGCUGUGGCCUGGGCUGCCCACUCCUCUGAGGGGCUCUCACCAUCACUGCCUGGAUCCUCUGUCAGGCCUCACCUCCUACUGCAUGGCAGGGGCUAUGGCCAUGGGGCAACCCCAGGCCCUCCACCACAGAGGCCACAGUAUGGAUCCAGGGAGGCCUGGAUUGGCAUCCUCGCCCUGCCUCUUCCAAUUGUAUGACUUUAAAAAUCUCAUGCCACCUCUUUGAUCCCCCUUCUCCUACUCUGUAAGUGGGAAUUGAAUUCCAGAUUAUUUACUGAACACUUACCGUAUGCCCUGCUUUCCUUCCGGGACACAGCAACCAAAACGCCAGCCCUCUGGAGCUGACAUCCUAGUGGGCAGAGGAAGAUAGUAAAUGAGAUCACUAAGUUUUUACAAAAGUGAGAUCUGUUAGAUGGUGUUGAGUGCAUGAAGAAAGAUACAGAGUAAUGGAGGUGUGGGAGGUGGUGGUGGGGUGCAGGGUAAGUUCAAACAGGCUGAUUGGGGAAGAUCUUCCUGAGAGGAUGACAUUUCCACAAGUUGCUGAAGGAGGUGAGGGAGGGAGUUUUGUGGAUGUCUGGGGAAGUGCAUUCUGGGCAGAGGGAACAGUCGGUGCAAAGGCCGUGGGGUGGGCACAAGUCUGGUGUGUGGAACAGCGAGAACACCUGGGACCUGGAGUGGAGGGAGCUGGCGGAGGGAUGCGUAUCAUCUGGCAAAGUCAGGGAGGCCGAGGGACUGUCACUUGUGGCAGGAACUUUUGCUUUUACUCUUCACGGAGUGAAAUGAGUUUUUACUGCUCUAGGCAGCCACCGCCAGGAAAUAAAAUGGUUUCAUUGGUGACUCCCCAAGAGUGUCAUAGGGUAGGAGGAGGUAGGAGGCUGGAGGGGGCCCAUGACUAGGAGCUUAGGAGCUGUGUAACCCUGGGUAAGUCCCUUAACCUCUCUGUGCCUCGUUUUCCUCAUCUAGAACAUGAGGAUGAUAAUGGCACCCACCACAUAGGAUUAUCGUGAGGAUAAAGUGGUACUAAUUUUUAAAAGUUUAUUUGUUUCGUUAUUUUGAGAGAGAGAGAGAGAGAGAGAGCAAGCAGGGGAGGGGCAGAGAGAGAGAGGGAGAGAAUCCCAAGCAGCACAGAGUCCCAUGCGGGGCUCGAACUCACAAACUGUGAGAUCAUAAUCUGAGUUGAAAACCAAGAGUAGGAUGCUUAACCGACUGAGCCCCACCCAGGCGCCCCUAAAGUGGUAAUAAUUUUAAAGUUCAUAGAACACGGCUUGGGUUCAAAUCUUGACCCUGCUUCUUACCAUUGGAAGUCAGAUAACCUCUCUGUGCCUCGGUUUCCCCCUCUGUAAAUCGGGAAUAACGAUCAUACCAUCUCAGAGGGUAGUGAGGAUUAAAUGAGACGAUGCUUAUAACGUGCAUAGCACAACACCCAGCACUUCAUCAAAAGGAGUUGUUACCAUUAUUAAUCUAUGAAAACUUUUCUAACGAGGUCAGUAACAGGGACAGGGAGAGAACUCCCAUAUUUCAUGGCUUGUGUGUACCCUAUAAUGUUAAUUAGAUUGCUCAUACCAACCCAUGAGGCGGGCCCUCGCCCCCCACUGUGCAGAGUAGAAGCCUGAGGCUCAGAGAGGAGAAGUGGCUGGUCCUAGAUCCCUAGCCAGUGGGCAGCAAGGUUUAGAAUCAGACUCUGAAGUUGGCCUAACUCCAAAGUCCGUCCUUCCUUUUUCCAUCGGACCAGCCAUGCCUGCAGAGGUGGGAACAGCGGAGCUGGGGCCGGUAGAUCCCGGGUGGCCUGUGGGAGCAGUGAGCGGCUGCUGCCCCAGGGUCAGCAACGGGCCCCUGAGUACUGUACUUGAAUGCAGUCAACGUGGGGCCCAGAGGAAAGUGGGGCCCCCCUUCUCAUCAGUGCGGGGCUGGGCUGGCCCCGUUGGUGGCUGGCUGUCACGCAGUCAUUUCCUGUUCCCCCCAGAUUGAGCCUCGGAACAUGUGUUUUCUCAGUGGUCCCCCCUCAGAGGCUGAAUGCUCCCUCCUGGAGACCCACAGAACCAAGCUCAGUAGGCUGAGUCUGCCGCCCCGCCCUCCCGCGCCCCUUUCUUGCUUAGGCGGGAUCCUGGCACAGGCAGCCUGGCCAGGGGCAGAGUUCCUUUGCCCUUUGUCAGAGCUCAAUAGCUCCCUGGGGCCCCAGAGAGAUGGGGAUAAUGAAGGCAAGUUAGCAAAGCUUUCAAGAGAAAUAAAAUAAAAAAGAAGCCCACCCACCCGCCCCUGGCUGCAGCGUGGGGCCUGGGACCAGGUGUAUACCCUGCACUGGGCACCGCGUGUCCUCGCUCCCUUCUGCUCCCUGACGGGGCCAGCCCGCAUCUGCCGGGACAGGCUGGCUUCGCUGCGGAAAUGCAUUUCCCUCUGAAGCGAGUUCUUACAGGACGGAUUGACUGAAGGCAAAAGCUCAUAAUUGCCCAUUGCUGGAAGGAGGAGACAGGAAAAAAGAAACACGCGGAUAAAAAUAUCUCUGUUUUUAUGCACGUUUCCAGCUGAAAAUUGGUGGGAAAGAUGUUUUUGAAAAGCCUUCAUCUCUAGGCAUAUAAUUACCAAGUCCCAGAACAAAAAAAAAAAGACAGAGCGGGAGAGAGUGAGCACGUUGUGCUAGGGAGGAGGACAAGGGUCUGAACCCCCAUAGAAUUUUCUAUAAAUAAUUCCCUCAAAUUCUCAAGACUGGCUUGGCUAGAGCCAGCAGUGGGGGGAUACACCCCCAUUUUAUGGAUGGAGAAAUAGAGACUCAAGUCACGCAGCCAACUGAAAAUUCUGGCCUUGCCUUGAUUCUUGGUUUGAAGGCUGCCUUGGUUUCCCCCCACCCUGGAUGCUCAUGAAAGUGGGGCACUGUUGCUGAACAGGCACCAGCAAAUGUUGUCGCAUUUCUCAUGGGUGCCUUCCUGAAUAUGGUACGAGGUCUUGGCUAUCCAGGAGCCUCUUACCCAGCAACUGGCUGUCUUGAGUGGCCUCAGUCUCCAAGAGAGGUCAUCAAGGCCACACACAAAAAUGCACACGCCUUUUCUAGAGAAGAGUCUCUCAAGUCCCAGUUUAUUGCCCACUGACUCUUUGCACACAGUCGUAUGAAUUUCAGUUCGCAGCACACCUGCCAGCCGGGAAAAGAGAUGGCUCACAGCCUGAGCCCAAAGCCAGCAAAAGAAUUGUAGAAGGGAGGGAAUCGGGGUCACUCAGGGUUGAGACAGGUGGUCCUGACACCUCUUUCCCAAGGGGGUCAUUGUGGGCCGAUGUGGCCCCGUAUGGUUCAGCGGAGCAAAAUCUGAAUAUUGGGGUGUGCAAAGGGAGGAGAGGCCACGUGGAAGCCACACGUGGAGACACCCCAGGACAUGGGUUUUCUCUUUCAGAGCCAACAUCCUGCAGCCUCUGCUUCGGAACCCAGCAUUUGGGGAUCCCACCGUUCCUCACUCUAGGUUUCUAGGUACUUUGUUUUUGAUAUCAGGGCCCAGAACACCACCUUAAACCCACUGUUGUCUCAUACUCCAUUCUUGGGGAUCCUGCUGCACUGAAUUUGGUGAACUUGACCCUCUGCUUUCCCCGUCCUUUCCUUAAGAGAUAAUCUCUCCCCUCCCCGCAACCGCCUCCCUGGAAUCAAACCUGGAGCUGGCAAGCUUAUCUCUGGUCCUCCCAGGACAGCCCAGGAGAGAGGGAUUUUCCAGUGACAAGAAUCUCAUUUGCAGGAGAUAAGGCCAAUUUUAAUUCUGGAAUUUCCCACAAUGAAAUACCAGAGAUGUUCGCUGUCACAGAGUUGAUAGAAACCAGUCUUUUUCAUUUUAUUAGCUCAGAAACAUCUUGUUGAAUCUAAAUGAAGCGCAAAUUAGGGAACUGUUACGGGAGGCAUUAUACUUAAUGGUGUGUUGCCUCAAUUGGUGGUGGCUUGUAUGAACAAGGGCCUGGGGGAUGAGGUGGGGGCAGCUAGUAAGCAAAGCUGCAGGGGGCCCAACUGCGGGGGCCCUGGAAAUGGUUUGGGGCUCACCUGCUAUCUGAUUUGUUACUUGCCACCUUCUGGCAAGCAAAGGGAGCCUAGCCUUGGUCUGGAAAAGCAGAGCGAUGGGGGAGCUGGGUAGUUUCUCAGUGGCUAGAGCUGCAGGUGGUGAAGGGGCUCACCUUCCUGAGGUUCUGACUGUGCUGUGACCCCAACCUCCUGCUGAACCUGACCCAGCCCCAGCUUGAGCCCCACUCUGACUCUAGAGCAGUGAUUUUCAGGGGGAGGGGGUUGGGUGGGGGCACUAUUGCCCCCUUAGGGGACAUCUGGCAAUGUCUGGAGUCAUUUUUGUUGUCGUGAGUAGGGGUGGGGUGCUACUGGCAUCUAGUGGUUAGAGGGCAGGGAUGCUGCUAAACAUGGUACGGUGCAGGACAGAGCCCCCCACCAUGUGGAAUUAUCUAGCAAAAAAAAACGUCAAUAGUGCAGAGGUUGAGAAACCUGCUGUAGUUUGACUGAUUCUUUUAUUUUUAAUGUUUAUUUGUUUUUGAGAGAGAGAGGGAGACAGAACGUGAGUCGGGGAGGGGCAGAGAGAGAGGGAGACACAGAAUCCGAAGUGGGCUCCAGGCUCCAAGCUGUCAGCACAGAGCCCGACGCAGGGCUCAAACUCACGAACCGUGAGAUCAUGACCUGAGCCGAAGUCAGACGCCCAGCUGACUGAGCCACCCAGGCUCCCCCAGUUUGACUGAUUCUAGCUGAGCCCUGACCUUGGCCCAGCCUGACUCCACCCCCCGCUGAACCCUAAUCUGAAAAGGACCUGGCUGGGAUGGGAUUUGUGGCUUCUGCCCCUUGCAGGGGCCAAUUCCUCAUUAACUCUGCUUCCACGUGCCUCCGCAGAGGAGUGAGAAGGGAAGAUGGGUGCUGUGAGUUAGGUCUUGCCAUGGCCAGAGGCUUGGGGAGAGGAGUGGCCUUCCCACAGCUGGUGAAUAGCUGAGCCGGAGCCUGCACUCAGGAUGGGUUGAACCCUGAGCGCAUCCCCUUAACACUGGGCCAGGCUGGAGCUGCCUGAAUGAGGGCAGCAGGAGGGCUCUUCUUCCUAGGUGGGUGGGGAUGUGUGCAGGCUCACAUGAGGCCUUGGAGACCCAUGGGACAUGUCUGGUGCUGGGAGGGGUGGCCCCCGAGUCAGCACGGGAGAGCCUGCCAGCCUGAUGGUUUGCCAGUUGUCUUUGCCCAUCUCAGUCUGGUGCUGAGGAAGGACCUGGAGAAGGAGUGCGAAAAAACUGGUUAAGGGGGCCGGGAAUGUGGGGUGACAGGGGCAAAGGGGCCUGGGGUCAGGUCCUGGCUCUUGGCAGAAGCUUCCUUGGCCAAGAACUUUGCCCCUCUGAGUCUCAGGUUUUCUCAUCUGUCAAGUGGAAGUGAUGGUAACAUCUCCCUCCUCCCAGGGUUACUGUUAGAAGCAAAUGAGAUAUAGGGGAUGGUGUGGAUGGUUGGUGCAUGAUGUGUGAGCCCCCCUUCCCCCCUGCUGCCAGGGCAUAGAGGAGAAUCCAGGGUAUGCACAGUGUCGAAGACAAACAAGUUCUGGGGAGAGGCAAGGGCUCAGGCAUUAUCACAGAGCAGGUAACCUGAAACCUUCCAGCUUCAAACUCUUUUGAGAUGCACAGAUAAACUCAUAGGAAAUGAAGAGGGUGCAUUGGAGAGGAGAUAAGGGCGGCCUUCAUAACCACUUCUGUCAGUUUUGCACUGGAAGUCUGGCCAGUGCAAAAAGGCAGGUAAAAGAAAUAAAAAGUAUGACAUUUAGAAAGAAAAAAAACCUGUCAUUUUUCACAGAUAACAGAAAAGCCCAGAGAACUUACAGAUAAACUAUUAGAAUUAAUACGGGAGUUUUAAAGGUCAGCAUACAAAAUCGACUCUGUUAUUAUAUAUCAGCAACAAAUGAUUAGAAAAUUAAAUUUGAACAACAAUCCAAUUUACAAUAGCAUUAAGACACUUCAAAUAUCUAGGAAUAUAUUUAAUGAAAGAUGUACAUGGUCUUUGCCCGUGGAGGUAUACAAUAUUCUUGGCAGAGAUUAAAGAAGACAAAAAUAAAUGAAAGAGUAGACCAUGCUCAUUGAUUGGAAGACCUGAUAUUGUAAAGAUGUCAACUGUCCACAAAUUGGUCUGUAAAUUUAGUACAUUUCUAAUCAAAAAAUGAAGAGAAAACUGAAAACCAGCAGGAUGCAUGUAGGCUGAUAAGCUUCCUUACUGGGGUGGCAGCAGGAAUGAAGGUGUUUGCUGGUCUGGCAACCAAAGGCUUAGGUUUUAAUAGCUUAAGGAUACAGGAGAUGAUGUCCCUAUACCUUCCCUAGUUGGAACUCACACCCCAGCAUAAAGCCAGGACCUUUAAAAAGACAUACCCUCAGCGAAAGUGGGGACUGGGAAAAUACCCACCCAUCUACCAAAGAGAGAGAAUGUCUGUCUCAGCUAGGUCUUGAGAUUUGGGUUUCUGAGAUGUGCCCCUGGUAUCUGUUGAAGGUUGUAAUUCACACUACUCCCCUGGUUCCAGAACCCCUGAGCCAAUAUUUCUAUAAAUAAUGCCUUGGCAGGCACUGAGGGAAAGGAAUUGCAAAUUCUCUCUGGACCCUGGAGGGACCUGCCUUCAACCAGGCUGAAUAAGAUUCCCACAGGUGAAGCCCUACUAGAGAUGAACUCACAAUCCAACAAUUACCAAAUAUACAAGGAAGUAGUUCACCACGAGGGAGAGUCAUCAGACAUCCCAGACAGCAGAAACACCUCUCAAGAGUCUGAGAUAAUAGAAAAUUGAGUAAUAGAUGAACAUUGCAAAGAUUUAAAAUUAUUAGAGACCUGUAAGGUGCACUAGAUAAGGAAAGAACAAUAUAUGACAAGGAUAUAAGCAAAAGAACCAAACACAACUUUCCAAAACCAAAAUUGUACUCGUUGAAAUUAGAAACUUACUGAAGUUGGGAAAAUUUGAAUAUGGAGUGGAUUUUAAUUAGUAAUUUAAUAAUGAAGGAAUUAAAAAAAAUAUUUAUUUAUUUUGGGGCACCUGGGUGGCUCAGUUGGCUGAGCGUCUGACUUCAGCUCAGGUCAUUAUCUCACGGUUCGUGAGUUCGAGCCCCACGUCGGGCUCUGUGCUGACAGCUCGGAGCCUGGAGCCUCCUUCAGAUUCUGUGUCUCCCUCUCUCUCUGCUCCUCCCUGGCUCACAUGCUGUCUCUCUCUCAAAAAGAAAUAAAGAUUAAAAAAAAUUAAAAAAAUUAAUUUAUUUUGGGCAGAGCACAAGUGAGGGAAGGGUAGAGAGAGGGAGACAGAGAAUCCGAAGCAGACUCUGUGCUGACAGGCUGACAGCAGUGAGCCUCAUGUGGGGCUCGAACUCACGAACCGCAAGAUCAGGACCUGAGCUGAAGUCAGACACUCAACCAACUGAGCCACCCAGACGCCCCAGAAAUCAUUUUAAUUUUGUAAGGUGUGAUAGUGAUAUUUUUGCUAUUUAAGAAAUGUGUUCCCACUUUUUUUUAAUGCAUACUGAAAUAUUUAGAGUGUAAUUUCAUCAUAUCUGGGGCUUGUUUUAAAGUAUCUCAGCAUAAAAAUACAUGGGAUAAAUAUGACAAAGUGUUAAUAAUUGUUAAAACUAGAUGUUGGGUAAAGAUGAUUCAUUAUACCAGUGGUUCUCAAACUUCAGUGUGACACAGAGUUGCCUUUACAAAACACAAAAUUAUUACAUCUACACAGAGGAAUCUGGAAUAUAUAAAGAUUUGAUAACAAGAAAACAACCCAAUUUAAAAAUGAGCAAAAGGUUUGGAUAGAUAUUGCACCAAUGAAGAUAUAUAUGGGUGGCAAAUGAGGAAAAGCGUACCACAUCAUAGUCAUUAGGCAAGUGUGCGUUAAACCACAAUAAGAAGGGCACCUGGCUGGCUCAGGCAGGAGAGCAUGUGACUCUUGAUCUCAGGAUUGUAAGUUUGAGCCCUCACUGGGUGUGCAGUUUACUUAAAAAUAAAGUCUUUAAAAAAAACACAGUAAGAAGCCUCUACAUAUCUGUUAGAACGACUAAAAUUAACAACAACAACAAAACAAAACAAAAAAAAAAAACAAUCCUACCUGACAUUGCCAAAUACUGGUGAGAAUGUGAAGCAACCAGACCCCUCCUACAUUACUGGUGGACCCACAAAUAGUGCAGCCACCCUGAAAAACAGGUUGGCAGUUUCACACAAAGUUAACCUCAUCCUUACCAUGUGACCCAGAAUCCCAUCCCUGGGUAUUUACCCAAAUGGAACAGAAAGUUAUGUUCAAACAAAAAUCUGUAUGCAAAUAUUUAUUAUGCCCCCUGUGAAAUUGCACCAAACUGGGAAGAGUGGAGAUGUAUUUCAGUAGGUGAAUGGCUAAGCAAACAGAUGCAUCCCUGCAGUGGAACAUCUGUCAGCAAUAAAGAGGAGCAAACUGGGGCUCCUGGGUGGUUCAGUUGGUUAAGCAUCCGACUUCGGCUUGGGUCAUGAUCUCACGGUUCAUGAGUUCGAGCUCCUCAUUGGGCUCUGUGCUGACAGCUUAGAGCCCGGAGCCUGCUUUGAAUUCUGUCUCCUUCUCCCUCUGCCCCUUCCCUGCUUGCUCUCUCUCUCUCUCUCUCUCUCUCUCUCAAAAAUAAACAUAAAAAAACUUUUUUAAAUAAAAAAGAGGAACAAACCACUGAUCCAUGCAAAACAGGAGUGAAUCCCAAAUGAUUAUGCUAAAUAAAAGAAAGUAGACUUAACAGCCCACAUACUUACUACAUGAUUCUAUUUAUAUGGCAUUCUAGGGAAGCCAAGAGUAUAUAUAGAGAAAACAGAUCAGUGGUAGUUGGGGGCUGAGGGUUGGGCAGGGACUGGUUGGUUACAAAGGGGGGAGCAAGGGAAAAUUUUGGGGGUGAUGGAAUUAUUCUAAAUCUUGGUUGUGGUGGUCAGGACACAUUUCCCAAAACCCAGAGAAGAGCACACGACAAAGAAUUUUAAUGUCUAUAAAAUUUAAAAAAUAGAUGAAAAUGUUAAGUUAGGGUAAUCUACUAAAACAUGUACACAUGCAGAUUGCUGGACCCCCAUCCUCAAAGUUUCUAAUGUACUACGUCCUAGGUGGGACCCGAGAAUCUGUUGUUUCUGACCAGCUCCCAGGGGUUGCUGGUGCUGCUGGUCUAGGAGCCAUGCUUUGAGAACCUCCGCAUUGUACUAUUCUGUUUUCGUUAUGUUUGAAAUCUGUGAAAACUUCUUAAAGUGAGCGUUUUCUAGAAUUAAAGCUAAAGGAGACAGACUUCUCGGAGAGUGUUUUCUAGAAUUGAAGCUAAAGGAGAGAGACUUCCAGGAGAGUGUUUUCUAGAAUUGAAGCUAAAGGGGACAGACUUCUCAGAGAGUGUUUUCUAGAAUUAAAGCUAAAGGAGACAGGCUUCCCAGAGAGUGUUUUCUAGAAUUGAAGCUAAAGGAGACAGACUUCUCGGAGAGUGUUUUCUAGAAUUGAAGCUAAAGGGGACAGACUUCUCAGAGAGUGUUUUCUAGAAUUGAAGCUAAAGGAGAGAGACUUCCGGGAGAGUGUUUUCUAGAAUUGAAGCUAAAGGGGACAGACUUCUCAGAGAGUGUUUUCUAGAAUUGAAGCUAAAGGAGACAGACUUCUCGGAGAGUGUUUUCUAGAAUUGAAGCUAAAGGAGAGAGACUUCCAGGAGAGUGUUUUCUAGAAUUGAAGCUAAAGGAGACUUCUCGCGGGCUGCCAGAACAUCUGAGAAUGUGAACUGUAAACGAUCAAGUGCAGUCCUCGUGAACGAGUGCUGAGUGGGUCCAUUCGACUGAGUUUGCUCACAGUCAGCCCCGUCUCACCUGUGCUGUGGUGCCUGCAUGGGAGAGAGUUGCCAGUCCCGGCAGUUGUGCAGGCACAGCCCCCGGGUGGUGGGGCCCCAAGACCUGUGCUCUAAUCCAGAUGGCGUGACUCCCCAGCUGUGUGACUAUGGGCCUGAGUUGUCCCGCUUGGGGCCUCCGCUUCUCUAUCUAUACAGUGGAAUGACACUCAACCACAGGAUGGCUGUGAAGCCCCAGUAUGUGGUGGUGUUCAGAAGAAGGUUAUUCCACUCAAGGGCAGAGAUGGAGCCUCCUUUGGGAGGAGAAGCCAGGAGGACCGCCCCCCCCCGCCCCGCCACUGCCCAGCAGAUUCAGUCGGAGCCGGUGGCAGGAGGGAACCCCUUUUACAGGUCACAUCCAUGAAGCAGAAGAGUCCCAAGGCAGAAAGGUUUCACCUGCACGGAAAUGAAAGUGGAACUCAGGGCCUUUUCUCUUUCUUGCCUGCAGACGAUGGACCUUACUCCAAAGGGGGCAAGGACGCAGGAGGGACCGAUGUGGCCCUGGCAUGCCGCAGACAGAGCAUUCCAGGUGAUGAGCCUCUUCCCCUUCCCCUUUCUCUGUCCUGGAGGCACAGGUGGCUCAGAACGGGGGGGUCAGACGGCAGUGGCUCUGCCGAUAACUCACUCUGUGACCUUAGACCGGUCACUUAACUUCUCUGAUCCUCUUUGUGUAAAAAGGGGAUGAUCUUACCCAGCAUUUUGCAGCCAGGUGCUCUGUUUACCAAGUGUGGGUCUCAUUUGUAUUGGAGCUAGGGGCCUGGAAUUGUGCCAUACUGCCUGCUCACCCCCCCAUCUGUUGACAGAGGAGUUCCGCGGGGUCACCGUGGUGGAGCUGACCAAGAAGGAAGGCAGCACGCUGGGCCUAACCAUCUCAGGUGGCACCGACAAGGACGGGAAGCCCAGGGUCUCCAACCUGAGACCGGGGGGGCUCGCAGCCAGGUGAGGAUUGGGCUCCGUGGGGCAGGAGGAGGCGGGCAGGGGCCAGCGGAAAAGGUACCAGGGCUGUCGGUAAAGCCAUCAGUCAGUUGUUUCCAGAAGCGCCCCAGUGCUCCUUGGAGGGAGGCCUCCGGUCGGUGGUGGCUGUAAUUCUAGGCCCCAGCUUCUUCUUUUCCCCUUUACUCAAGGGGCUGGCUCGACCACAGCAUCCCACUCUUGCCAGGCCCUCCAAGCUUUUGCACAUGCAGUUAACUUGCCAGAAGGCCUGUUCCCCACUGGCAGCCUCCUAUUCAUCCAUCCACACUGCCUCUGGGAGGCCCCCCGUACCCCAGGCCCAGGCGGCUCCUCUGCUCGGCUCGCAUGGCCCUGCGUGCCAGUUCUGCACACAUCACUCUGGAUUUUCCUGUCGUCUGGCCUAUGCGGGUCCCUUGGAUCAGGAGUUCCAUGAGACUUGGGGGUUAGCCUCUCUGUUGCCACCUCUCUGGGCCUCACACAGGGCAGGCGUCGGUAGCGUCCAGUUGAAUAGAACAGAAGAUUAGUGGUUAGAAGCCAGGGUGAGCUCUAGGAAACAGCAAAUAAGGAGAUGAUCCAGCCACUCUGUGGGCUCCUCUGAGGCUGGUCGGAGCCUUAAGUAUGAGGGCAACACCCCAGCCGGAGGAAAAGCAGGCAGGCCGGCAUCGGGGGAAAUGCCAGGCCUGGGUGUCAGACAGGUGUAGGUUAGAAUCUGCACUCUCUUACUGACCCGCUGUGUGACCCUGGACGAUGUCUGACCUCUCUGAGCCACUGCUUCCCCAUCUGUGACAUGGGGAUUCGGAGAUCAUAAGGAUUCAACAGAAGAGUGGGUGUGAAUGCUGGCACCUUCACCGUGCAUGUGCUCUGGCCUCCUUGCUCCCAGGAGUGACCUGUUGAACGUGGGCGACUAUAUUCGGUCAGUGAACGGGAUCCACCUGACCAGGCUCCGCCAUGAUGAGAUCAUCACCCUGCUCAAGAAUGUGGGCGAGCGCGUGGUGCUGGAGGUGGAGUAUGAGCUGCCCCCGCCCGGUGGGUGCCCUUGGACGGGGAACUUUCUCCACUGCCUUAGUCAUGGGUAGACACAGCUGCCUCCCUGCCAGCACCUGGGUGGUGGGGACCAGCUGGGUGGGUGGGACCUGAAGACCGGCCUAUGUCACACCUAGGGACUUCGGCUGCAACUGCAGUGUGGUGUCACCAGGAGGUGACAGGGCCCUGUUUAUAACCCGUUGUCGUUUUUUACAUGUAGCGUCCAGAAUUCUACCUCAGGGCGGAGGGGGGGGGGGAUGGUUUGGGGAAUGGGGGCUGAAACAGUUAUUCCCAGCCCUACUGGUGUCUUCACCCCGCCAGCUUGCACAGAGUACAGUGGGCAAGGGUUUAGCCUAGCUCUGAAUUUUCAAAGCUGGUCUAAAGUCUUAAGAUUUGAAUGACUGGAAUUCAACCCUGGCCUGAGCCCAUAGCCAUGGACUCACGUCUGAGUUCUGUCGUGGUCUCUGUGUGAGCCUGGGCAGGCCUCUCUCUAAGUGGUUGUUAAGGUGAAGGGUCCCUUGAAGUCUUGCUUGUCCUACCUGUAAACUGGGGUGGGGGGAAGUUUACCCUCCCUGUAAUCUCUGUCUGGUCACCCAAUUCUCCCAGAAUGAGCUUUGGGGAUGUCUGUGGCUUGGUGAUGUGACUGAGGUACUCAAAGGAGCCCUCUAUUUCUCCCCAGCCCCUGAGAACAGCCCAGGGAUCGUCACAAAGACAGUGGACGUCUCCCUGUACAAGGAGGGCAAUAGCUUUGGCUUUGUCCUCAGAGGUCAGUGUAAGAGUCAUACUUGGGGCCAAGAGGUGGGAAGGAGGCUACUGCUAAUUCCAUGUGUGAACACAUGCUUUGCUUUAAUGAGGUUGUAGGGAUAGGUAUAUGGAUAGAUAGGAUCGCUUCUUGCUUCUGACUCUAAAGAACCCAGGGCCAUUAAGUCAAAUGUUAAAUGGAAACAUUUGCCAAGCAAUGAAGGGUGCAUGAUUGCUGGGAGUGAGAUUGAGAAGAAAGUUUGGAGCUGCCUAGCAACCAGGGCAAAAAGGGAAGUAGGAUGAGAUCAUAGGAAGGGAAGCAAGCCAUUUAAGAAAGGAUUUCGGUCACGUUCCCUACUUUUUGUUCCAGCUCUGGGGAUUUACGGUUGGUAUCUUACAAGAGGGCCCGUGAAUAGAAGGGACAGGUCCUAAAACAGAUUUAGUUAAGGGAGCCUGUUUAGGGGCUGAGUCGGGGCAUCUAGGCAUCAGGGAAAGAGUGGGUAGAUGACUGAUUCCUCUUGUUGAGUUCUGUCCAGGGGGUGCCCAUGAAGACGUACAUAAGACCCGCCCGCUCGUCCUGACCUGUGUCCGGCCUGGCGGCCCUGCAGACAGGUGAGCCUGAACCAGAAGAAACCUUACAGCCUUUCCCUGCCCUGACUGCCCCCAGCUCCUCUGUGAAGAAGGCAGACCAGAAACCACUGUUCUCUAGAUGAGCAAACUGAGGCUCAAAGAGAGGACACACCUUGUUCAGAGUCACUUGGACUUGUUGGUGGAGCAGGACUCAAUGCCAAACGGGAGAGACCCCAAGAUCUUUCCUCCCCAACAACCUACUGUCUCAGGGGUGGGGAGGGAAGCAAGCCUUGGCGUUAUGUUGUUCUUCCCUUCCCUGGCUUUAGUUUUCCCCAUCUGUGGCAUGGGGCGGAUACUACAGCCCCUAGGAGUUGCUGUGAGAGAUUCGGGGGCCCUGUUAGCAGUGCCGCUAUGGCCUCUAUAACGCAGCCUCUGGAGUCCUGGCUAUGCCACCCUGCCUGCCUCUGCCUGGGCAUAGCUCAGAAGGACCAGGCAGGCAGGGCCAGGAGACGAGAAUGUGGGAGACGAACGUGUUCAGUUCCCAGCACCUGACCCCUGACCUCCCCAGUGGGAGAGUCUUGGCCAUUUUAAGAGAAGCCUGGAACGGCCUUGUCAGAAAUCUAAACCCAUUCUUGGGACAGAGGCUGUGAUGAGCUAUUCAUAGAACCUCCCAGAAUAGCUUUGGCCAUCUGUUGGGGCAAGCACUCCAGGGUGGAGAUUUGACCCAAACCGAGGUGAACCCCCACUCAGGCCCCUCUCCUGGGGCCCCUGCUGAAUUUGUUCCCAGGUGCAUUUGUCACCAGGCCAGAAUCACUGCUGAGGAGCCAGAGUGGGGGCAGUGAGAGCGGACCUCAUGACGGGCAGCAUGAAGCCUCCAGACUGCCCCGCCCCUGAUGCUGUGUGGCCCUGACAGGGCUGGUGUCCUUUCUGGGCACUGGCAUUCUCUUGUAUCCCUGGGUGUCCCCACUCAGACGUUCUAGGGUUGAGCUGGGGCUAUGAAUUUAUUAAGCACCGAGAAAGGGGGGAGCUGUCAGAGCUGGUCGCUGGUCCCAGCUAUCCUUACCUGCCCGCUUCAUUUAUUCAGCCGCUUACCCAUGGACUCCCUCCUACGUCCCCUCACUCAUCAUUCCGUCCCUUUCUCCUUCACCCACUGCCUGCCCCUCUCUGUCCCCCGUGCCCCAACCUUUCCCAGCACCCUCUCGGGAGGGCUGUGCACAGUGCUCACUGAGGCCGGGCUGGCUGACCAGGCCCUUCCCUGCAGGGAAGGUUCCUUGAAGGUGGGCGACAGGCUGCUCAGCGUUGAUGGGAUCCCGCUGCACGGGGCCAGCCACGCCACUGCCAUGGCCACGCUGCAACAGUGCAGCCACGAGGCGCUCUUCCAGGUGGAGUAUGAUGUGGCCAUCCCAGGUGAGUUGGGGGUCUGAGGACUAGGGUUGGGGCAGAAAGAGGCCCAGGGCUUGGGGCAGGGGGUAGCAGACCCAAAUCCUCACCACUGCAAAGGCUCUGUGACCUUGGACCAGCACCUAGCCUCUCUGAGCCUCUCUGGGCAAUAAACACUAUGUGUCAGGCAUUGUUUGAGGCACUAGAGAUCCAGGUGAGAGCAAUACAGACAAGGCCUCUGUUCUCAGGGAGCUCACCUUCUAGUGGGGAGAGGUGGACAGUAAACAGAAUAAAUCAAAUAUGGGAGGCAUCAGAUAGCAAUAAGUGGCAUUCUAAAAAAAAAACAAAACAAAACAUCAGGGAGAGAUGGGAAAGGCUAGGAGAGAGAAAGGUGAUGGUGGCUGGACCAGGCUGGUUGCCUGGGAAGCAUAGAUAGGUUGCAUUCAGGAAAUAUGAUGAAAGUCGAUUUGGUCUGAUUUGCUGACGUUUGGACACAGUGGCGGGGGUUGGGCAGGGGCGUCGAGAGCACAAGGAGCUAGGUUUCAUAUUUAAACCACUGGGUGGGUUAAUGGGGGUGCCAUUUUCUGAGAUGGGAAAAGGUUGUAGACAAAUGGCAGGCUCUCCAUAAGUGGGAGCACCUUAGUGUUGUCUAGCAGAGCCGUAGGGUCAGAGCCCCUCAGAGCUGAGUUCCUGACCCUCCUCUGCUGCUGAGUGUUUGUGUGAACUUGGACAAGGCCUUUACCUCCAUACGUCUCAGUUUACCCAUCUGUAAAAUGGGUACGGUAAUCCCUCCCCAGCAGUGGGGGUUAAAUUGAGAUAGCCGACUGAGGCUGGGGAGGCAAGCGUUCAAUAUUUGCAUUUCGAACUCUUGUCUCCUUCCACAUGCCAGACACAGUGGCCAAUGCUUCGGGGCCCUUGAUAGUGGAGAUAACCAAGACACCUGGGUCCGCCCUGGGGAUCUCGCUCACCACCGGCUCCCACCGGAACAAGUCGGUCAUCACUAUCGACCGCAUCAAGCCGGCCAGUGUGGUGGACAGGUGAGACACACUGGGUGCUGCCCCCGUAGUGGCCAGGGAUGGACGGGGGAGAGGCCACCUUGAGCUCUCUCUGGCCAGACCAGCCUCCCCUUUCAUUCUCCCACCCGGCCAGGAGUGGGGCCCUACAUGCUGGAGACCACAUCCUGUCCAUUGACGGCACCAGCACAGCACACUGCUCGCUUCUGGAGGCCACCAAGCUCCUGGCCAACGUGUCAGAGAAAGUGCGGCUAGAGAUCCUGCCAGCACCCCAAAGUCGGAGGCCCCUGAAACCGUCAGAGGCAGGUGGGUCCCCUUGGAGGGUCUCAGCCCCCAAACCUGAGGGCGGAUGGGGAGGAUUGCACAGGGUCCCAGAGGCCUAGGACUGUAGCCCUGGGCAGGCUAAAAUUUACUGGAACAAAUGUCCGCUCCCAUGGGGAAGCUCAGACUGUCAAGUGCAGCAGCCGAGGCUGGGCCGGUGGGGCAGAGAAACAACUUGAAUGUUUGAGUGUUGACAGUCUGCUGGGGUGGGUGUCCCAAGGCUGUUUCCGUCACUCUUUGUAUUAAUAGAAAUACAACGGCUAGACCAAGGUUGGGGACAGUCCUUCUGUGCUCUGUGCUACUUAGAGCUUAGAUCUGGGGCUCAGCUUACCAUCCUCAGCAGGACCAGAGGGGGCAGCCAGUCAGUCAGGAGCACCGAGAGCCCCGCCUUUUGAGGAGUUGGGGGCUCCCAGACCAGAGCAGAGAGCUGGGUGCGAGGCAGUCCAAGAGCAGAGGAAGCAGGUAGUCUAAGAGACCAGAGGGCAGAGCUGAACUUGGGGCAGGGAAGUGCCUCUAGCAUUCCAGACCUUGGGCUUUGGGUUCAAAUGCCAGUGCUGCCCCAGCUGAACAGCCUCUGCAUCUCUCAGCCUCCGUCGCCUCAUCCGUAAAUGGGAGUGAGGACCCCACAUGCACAGGCUUGGGAGAAGUUAACCGAGGUAGAGGAUAGAGCACAGCCCAGGGGUGUGAAUCCCAGCCUGGUACGCCCGAUUGAUCAUCUGGGAGAGAAAGAAACCCCUCAAAUAAAAUGCGGGGAGACAGGUGUUGGGGAGGGUCCAUCUGUGUGGUCUCUGCCAGGGUCUGAAAAGGCCCCAUCAAGCCACAGCCAGGGCCUGACACGGAAGGCUUUGGGGCUUGAGCUGGAGUCACAUAUGGAGCACCUGCUGUGGGCUGGGGCUUCCCAUGGGUCGCCUCCUUUCAUCCUCAGGAUGAGUCUGUGAGGUCAGUAUUGCUGUUAUUCCACUUUCCAGAGGAGGUUGAGGCAGCUGAGGCUCAGAGAGGCACCCCUGAGGUGCCUCAUGAGGGCACACGGCUGCCGACAGCCCUCCUGGCCCUUGUGGGCCUCCGCUAGGUGCCAGGCACUGCUCUAAGCACGUCCUGUGUGGUAGCUCGUUCACAUCCUCCCCAUUAUCCUGGGAGGCAGCCACUAUCUUAGCCCCAUUAUACAGAUAAUGACAGUGAGGCACAGAGGGGCCAAGUGGCCUGUCUCAAGGACCUGGCAGCUGGCUCCUGAGUUGGCUUGUGUGCCGUGCCCUCCCUGUGUGGGAUGGAGGUGCUGCACAGGGGGUGGAGUCACUGGGCUGAGAUAGCUGGGUUCUCACUCAUCCGUCCGUGGACACGUUGCACCAGGCUGGCCCCCCCGAAAGCCCCACAGCAGAAGGAAGAGCCAAGGCGGGACCUGGGGCAGUCUGGGAGGAGGCGUUGCAUGGCAGCCGGUUUAGAAGAUCUGGUGGGGCAGGUGGGGGAGGCAGGAUCGCUGGAGUCCCGUGGGAAGCAGAUGGAGGAGAGUGCAAAGAAUUCAUCUGGGGGUAAAGCCUGCGCAAGUUUGGAGGGCAGGGGGCGGGAAGCCAGAGCAGCUUCAGACUGCAGUGCAGGGGUGAGCAGACCUCGGCCAACUCCUCGGCCCUGGAGCAUAGGUUGCCUCGAGAGCCCAGCAUGGGGCAGAAACAGCCAGGCCCUAGUGCCCCCAUGUGCUCAGCCCCUGGCCAGGGCUGCCCAGGCCACAGCACCGCAGUAGAUCCUAAAGGCGCAGGGGCCCAGUGGGGUCUGUCAGCCGCGCUGCCCAAAGCUGAUGGGCCAGUUCUCAGGCUGGGCCUGCUUUCCCUCCCAUCCUUGCUGCCGCCUGGCUGAGAGCUGAGCACAGUGCCUGGCACGUAGUGGGGGUUUCGGGACACAUGAGCGGCAUCCGAAUGAAUGCCUGGCUUGGCUCUGGGAAAACUCAGGCUGUCUGGUCCUGCUCUUCUCGCUUCAUCUUGCAGAUGGGAGCCUGCCCUCCAGGGGGGCGUGGUGAGUCCAGACUCGCUCAGUCCCUAACACCUGCACCUCUGUCUCCUCUUCCUUGGGUCACAGUGAAGGUGCAGAGGAGCGAACAGCCACAUCGCUGGGACCCCUGCGUGCUCUCCUGCCACAGCCCGCGGCCCGGCCACUGCAGGACGCCCACCUGGGCCACACCUGCCGGCCAGGACCAGAGCCGAUGUAAUGUGCCCAUCUCACCAUGGCUUGUGCAUGUUUCAUAGGGGAGGAAACCAAGACGCAGAGAAGUUAGGGGGUCUGCCCGGUAUUACCCAGCACAUUAGUGGCGACAUGAGCCUGGCAGCUGGGUUUCACCAGGUCUGUGAAAACCCUGCAGUCUUUGAGGCCCAGAGUGGGAGAGACUUACCUGAGGUCACACAGCCAGUGGUUGAGGUGAAAGGGGGAGUGCGUCCCCGUGUCGCCUUGUGCUGGGGUGGCUGCCUAGCACCCACUGUGUGGCAAGGUGGCAGGCCCUUCUGGGAUUCACGGGGCUGUGCUCUCAUCUCCCCAGCCUUGUCCUCGACUCCCUUUUCCUCGCCGACCAUGAAUCAUGCCUUUCCCUGCACCAACCCCAGCACCCUUCCCCGUGGAUCCCACCCUAUGAGCCCCCGGACCACAAUGGGGCGGAGGAGGCAGCGAAGAAGGGAGCACAAGAGCUCAUGUAAGUAAACCAUGGGCUCUUCCCUCCGCUUUGAGCUACGUGUAUGCCUGAUCCUGAGAGAUUUGCCGAAGAGUGGGGGCAUUUGGGGCAGGGCCCCAGUUCUAUGUUUGUGGGGUCAUUAAAUAGCAUGAGUGGUAUGCCAGACUGCCUUGGAUGGUUGGGUAGGUUGUGCAGUGUACAAGGAUGCACCUGAUGAGUUCCAGUUGCUUUGUACAUUUAUUAUGGAAAAUUCCCAGCAGGUGAUAGACCUCACCAUCAAAGAGGCACCUCACCUUAAAGUGCCUUGAGGAGAGGAUACCUGAAUCUGAAAAGCUUUCCCCUUUCAGAUUUGCACAAAGGUCUUGCAGGAACUCCAUUUCAUUUUCUUUCAUUCUGGAUUCGUUCUGAUCCAUUCAAGGAGAAAGUGUGAGCGUGGUGCAGCUACGUCUUUACCGCUUCUCUGACAUUUUUUAAUUUCCCCUAAGACAAAGACAUGUAGGCCUGAGGCUAGCCAUCCAGCAUGUGGUAAUUUUCACGUUCAGUCUGUAUGUAUAUAUACACAUAUGCGUGUAGACACACAUACAUAUAUACACACACGUAUAGAUUUCUACUUACCUUUUGUUUAUAGGCAUUUCUAUUUGCAAUCACUGUAUAUGUAGUUCCCUUUUGUUUUUUUUUUUGUUUUUUUUUUAAAUUUUUUUUUUCAACGUUUAUUUAUUUUUGGGACAGAGAGAGACAGAGCAUGAACGGGGGAGGGGCAGAGAGAGAGGGAGACACAGAAUCGGAAACAGGCUCCAGGCUCUGAGCCAUCAGCCCAGAGCCCGACGCGGGGCUCGAACUCACGGACCGCGAGAUCGUGACCUGGCUGAAGUCAGACGCUUAACCGACUGCGCCACCCAGGCGCCCCUGUAGUUCCCUUUUGAAAUGAAGGUAUAAGUAUUUUAAAAAGUGAGUGAAUGUAAAGACAAAUAGUAGUGAAUGAUAAUGCAGGAGACGUGUGGAAAUAGCAAAAGUCACGAGAAUGCCAAGAAUUUUGAAGUCUUUCCUGGGAAAAGUCCUUCCUUUGUUGACGUAGAGAGUUUAUCCAGCCUUCUGCUCUGUGAGUUGUAGAGGCCUCCAGGAAGGAUGAAAGGUUAACUGGGCCGUUUGUAAUUGAACCAGGUGAGGGAGAAGAGGAAUACAAAUCUCCUGGAAAGGAGCUAAAUACGGUUAUGAGCUUCCUGGAAGCCAAGGUGAAAAUGGAAACAUUUCAGAGUCAGAUGAGAGAUUAAAAUACGUCUUUACCAACCUCCUUUGUCAACCACCAAAGCUGGAGGUGUGUAGGUAAAAAGAUUCAGAAAUGCUGUUCAUAGGCAGGGGCAUGUGGAGGCUAAGGGCUCUUGGGACACCUUUACCUGUCCCUUUCCUAAGAUGGAUGACUAGUAAGGUAUUAUUAUUAUUAUUAUUAUUAUUAUUGAUGAUAACCAUUAGUUAAUUAGUUAAACGUUUUUUUUUUUUAAUUUUUUUUUUCAACGUUUAUUUAUUUUUGGGACAGAGAGAGAGCAUGAACGGGGGAGGGGCAGAGAGAGAGGGAGACACAGAAUCGGAAACAGGCUCCAGGCUCUGAGCCAUCAGCCCAGAGCCUGACGCGGGGCUUGAACUCACAGACCGCGAGAUCGUGACCUGGCUGAAGUCGGACGCUUAACCGACUGCGCCACCCAGGCGCCCCAAUUAGUUAAACGUUUUGAACACCUCCUAUAUACCAAGCACCAUUCUUGUUAUUAGGGAUGGAACUAUGAAAAUUAUAGCAAUACAACAUAUGCAACAAUACAAUAUAUUACACAGAUUGUAACAUGUAAUAUAAAGUAUAACAAAACAGUAAUAAAGGUAUAAUAGUAUAAUAGAAUUCAUAAUAGAAUUAAAUAUAAUAAAUUAUAUUUAAUACAUAAUACCUAUUAAUAAUACAGGUAUUUUUAUAUCUGGAAUAUAAAACAAUAUAUAUUAAGUAACAUAAUGUAUCAAACAGAUAUAAAAUUUUCAUAUGACCCAGCAAUUCCACAUUGAUAUAUGCCCAAGAGAAAUGAAAAUAUAUGUCAUGUCUACCCAAAAACUUAUACAUGAAUACUCGUAGCAACAUUAUUCAUUUUAGCCAAAAGGUGGAAACAACCCAGAUGUCCAUCAAGAGAUGAAUGGAUAAGGGCGCCUGGGUGGGUCAGUUGGUUGAGAGUCCAACUUUUGGUUUUGGCUCAGGUCAUGAUCCCAGGGUUGUGGGAUCGAGCCCCGCAUCGGACUUCUCACUGAGCAUGGAGCCUGCUUAGGAUUCUCUCUCCCUCUCCCUGUGCCCCUGUCCUGCUCUCAUGAACGCUCUCUCUCUCAAAAAGAGAGAGAGAGAGAGAGAGAGAUGAAUGGUUAAAGAAAAUGUGGCGUAUUCAUACUGUGGGAUGUUAUUUAGCCUUAUAAAGGAGAACCUUGAAAAUAUUACGCUUAGUGACAGAAGCCAGACACAAAAGACCACAUAUUAUAGGAUUGAAUUUACAGGGAAUGUCUAGAAUAGGCAAACCCAUAGAGAAGAAAAUAGAUUAGAGGUUGCUUAGGGCCGAGAGAGAUGGAAGGAUCUGGAGCGCUAGCUAAAAGGAAUGGGGUUUCUUUCUGAGAUGAUGAAAGGAUUCUACAUUUGAUUGUGCUGAUGGUUUUACUACGUUGUUAAUAUACUGUAACACACUAAGUUGUACACUUUAAAUUGGUGAAUGCUAUGUUAGGUGAAUUGUAUCUCAAUAAAGCUGUUACCAAAAAUAGCAUACUACGUAUUAUGGUAUUAUACUAGCAUUAGAACAACACUAACCCAACGUAACAUCACAAUCCUCUGUUUUACAGAGGACUUUACAACAUCACAUCACACAUCACAAUCCUCUGUUUUACAACAUGGCAGUCCCAGGAGCUGUCUCCCUUAAUCCUUGUCACGGCCCUGCUGGGUGGGAAUCCCCCGCUGUGCAGAUGAGGAGAGCACUGCCCAGAACAGGCUGUGACUCCCUGGGCCACUCACUUGCCCGUCUGACUCCAGGUUCUUGAGCCUAGGAAUGGGUUGGUUCUGGCCCGAAGGGCUCUCUGGGACUGCCCACCUGACAGCCAUGCCCACCUGUCCUGCAGUGUCACUGGCCUCCAGCACAGUGGGGCCAGGGGGACAGAUCGUGCACACGGAGACCACGGAGGUCAUACUCUGCGGAGACCCCCUCAGCGGCUUCGGCCUCCAGCUCCAGGGUGGCAUCUUUGCCACCGAGACCCUUUCUUCCCCUCCGCUCGUGCGCUUCAUCGAGCCCGACAGCCCAGCAGAGAGGUGAGCCAACUUCCCCUGCCCCACUGGGCCUGCCACUCUCCAACUCAGGGCUCAUAGACAGCCAGGGAAACAGAGUCACAUGCCAAGCCUGGCUUCACAAGUGUAUCUCGCUCCGCCAUCCCAUCAACUCCGUCAUCAGCCCCACUUUACAGAUGAGGAAACUGAGGUGCAGAGAAGCUGAUGCAUUGCCCAGGGUCACGCAGCUUGUGAGUGCCCCAGGACUGGAACCCCUGUCUGCCUGAAGCCAGAGUCCUCUAUAUACAUAUCUCCUAAGGCACGCAUCACCCCCCUUGGGCAGACAGAGAAGCCGAGGCCCAGCAAGUUCACUCCCUUAGCCAGAGUCACAUGCUGAAUGGCCUGAGGAUGUACAGCUGGUAUAGGGCCGAGCUGGGAGUCAUACCUCGAGCCUGCCCCUGCAUGGCAUUCCUGUCCCCCAGGGAUAGCCGUGCUGGUAACGGAACUUCUUCUCUCCGCGGGGCUGCCCGGGAUUCAGGUGUGGGCUGCUGCAGGUGGGAGACCGGGUCCUGUCCAUCAAUGGUAUUGCCACCGAGGACGGGACGAUGGAGGAAGCUAACCAGCUGCUGCGGGACGCGGCGCUGGCCCACAGGGUCGCACUGGAGGUCGAGUUUGAUGUGGCAGGUGAGUGAGUGUCCCUACCUCCCCCUCGCCCUUGGGGACCCUGUGCUCCCUCCUGUCCUGUGCUCUCGCCUGGUGCACGUGCUCCUCCACCCCCACCCCACCCCCCCUUGCAGCAACCCUUCUGCCUGAGUGUUUGCAGCGUGUGCCUGAGCACCAGCACCAGGAAGGCACUGGCCGGGGAGGCAGGAAUUCUGCACACCAGUGGGAGCGUUGAUGAGGGAGUUUUGUGCCGAAACAGGACCGAGGGAGGGCAGAGGGGGGCUGAAAACAUUCCCUGCCCCUCUGCAGGGCUUAGGCAAAGAACCCCACACAAAAACUCAGUUAGACGUUCUGGUCUUGUGAUUUCGACAUUCUGUGACUUUGGACACUCCCUCCCACCACCCAUCCUCAGCUUCCCCAACUUGAACUGGUGAAUAGAGUCCUACUACAAUGGAUAUUGUUGGGUUAGAUGAGAUAAAUUGUGUGGAAACACCAAGCUAAGGCCCGGCACGUAGUAGGUGCUUGGUAGAUUGUUACUGGGUCUGAACUGGGUUGGCUGGCCGUCAUGGGGCCUGGGUGCCAGCCCCAAAUCUGCUCUGACCAGAUGGGUUGUCUUGGGCAAAUGCCAGCUCACCAUGCCUCAGUUCUCUCAUCUGUCAGGUGGAAGACGCAGGAUGGGGUUGGGAUGGUGACUUUUUGCAGUCUUUCCCAGCUGGCCUACUGGGACUCCCUGAGUCUUCUCCCUCAGGCCUCACAUGAGUCCACGUGUGUUUGCCUGCAGAGUCCGUCAUCCCGAGCAGCGGUACCUUCCACGUGAAGCUGCCCAAGAGGCGUGGAGUGGAGCUGGGCAUCACCAUUGGCUGUGAGUCCCUCCCCGCCAUCCAGUCCCCACGCCGAGUGAGCCUCCUGCUGAGGGAAAGCACACACCUCCAGCCUAGAAGAGGGGGUGCUCCAGGUGGGAGGGCUGGCUUGGGUUCCCUCUGCCUGCAACGCUCAGCUCUGUGUCCUUGGGCGACACCCUAGCCACUGGGAGCAUCAGUUUCCCAUUCUGCACAAUGGGAGUUUCCUGGCCAUGUGGCUCUCCCAGUGGGAUUAAGUGGCUUGUAAGGCACCAAACACGUGGGCCAGAUUGGUUUUUUAUUUGUUUUUUGUUGUUGUUGUUUUUUACCUUCACAUUCCCAGUAGUGGGAGGAUGAAAACAGAAGAGUAGAAUGCACAAGCAUAGGGACCUUCAGAACCCUCCCAUGGCUUCAUCCUACUCUGAGUAAAAGCUGAAGUCCUCACGGCUGAUGAGGCCUUUGUGAUCUGGUCCUAGUGAUCUCUGACUUCAUCUCCUGCCAUCCCUCCAUCAUGCCCCACCAGCCACUGCUGGCCUCCUGGUUGAUCCUUGAACAUACUGCUCCUUCCAGCCUCAGGGCCUUUGCACUGGCCAUUCCCUCUGCCCUCUUCCCCACCAUUUGCUCAAAUGGCACCUUUGGAAGUCCUUUCCUACCACCCCGAUUUACACUUGCCCUACCCUCCACAUGGCCCCUUCCAUACUUUCUUUUUCUCCACAGCAUGCUUUAUCAGUUGACAAACUAUGUACAGUUGGCCCUUGAACAACAUGGGUUUGAACUGUGCAGGUCCACUUAAACAUGGAUUUUUUCCGAUAAAUACAGUACAUCCUAUAAAUGUAUUUUCUCUUCCUUACGAUUUUCUUUUUUUAAUUUUUUUUAACGUUUAUUUAUUUUUGAGACAGAGAGAGCCAGAGCAUGAAUGGGGGAGGGUCAGAGAGAGAGGGAGACACAGAAUCCGAAACAGGCUCCAGGCUCUGAGCUGUCAGCACAGAGCCCGACGCAGGGCUCGAACUCACGGACCGCGAGAUCAUGACCUGAGCCGAAGUCGGCCGCUUAACCGACUGAGCUACCCAAGCGCCCCUUUUCCUUAUGAUUUUCUUAACAUUUUCCUUUUUCUAGCAUACUUUAUUUUAAGAACACAGUAUGUGAUACAUAUAACAUACAAAGUACAUGUUCAUCAAUUGUGUUAUUUGUAAGGUGUCCAUUCGACCGUAGGCUAUUAGUAGUUAAGUUUUAGGGGAGUCAAAAGUUAAUAUUCAACUGCACGGGGAGACAGCACCCCUAACCCCCACAUAGUUCAAAGGCCAGCUGUACUUUAAAAUGUUGUUGAUUAUCUGUGUCCCCCACCAGACUGGUAGCCCCAGGAGGGUGGGGAUCUUUGUUUUGUUCACUCUCCCUCUCCCUUGCACAUACAUAGUAGAGAUUGAACUGUGUCCUGGGGAUCCUGAAGGGAAAGACGUUGGGAUAAGGGGUGGAGACACCCCCCGGCUGGCUGUAGCAUUGCCACCCCCACCGCCCUGCUGAGGUGACCUCCUGGCGAGUGUCCACUCUGGCCAGGGCAGCACACACACUGGUAGGCUGACCCCAGGUCAGGCAACAGAUGCUUGGACCUCAUUCCCCAGGGAGAUUCAGGGAGCCCCAGAGAACAGAAGACCAGGAUUGCAGUCCUUGUGUGAAAUGAUCCUCAGUCCCCACCCUGGGCUUGACAGAGGGUGACUGCAGCUCCUUCCUUCCCCAGACUCCACAGUCAAUGGAGGUGGAAGUUUAAGCACUCUGGGAGGGGAGAAGCUGCUUCCAGCCCAGGAACCUCUGGGUAGGGCUGCCAGAUACAGUUGCACAAGUUGCACAUGACACAAAGAUGCCCAUUUGAGGUAGACUUACAAUUUUAUUGCAUCAGUCGGAAGAGGUGCCCUUGUCUCAUCUGCAAAGAUGCCACAUGGGCUAGAAGAGGCUCCUACCAUCUGGUCACUAAUGGGAAAACCCAUCCGCCCAGAUGGAUUCUUUCUGCAAGAAAACUUAGCUAUUCAUGCAACACCCAUUGUCUUAGGUCACGUUUCCCCAGAAAGAGCUUCUUAGACAGAGUUAUGUUCCGGGGGUUUGCUGAGAAGGGCUCUUGGAAUCACCACCUGUGCGAGGUGAAGGAUGUGGGGCUGGGCAGAUGGAGGAGCUGGGUUGUGAUGCGACCACAGCAGGUGGCCCAGCCAAUCCCACGGAGAGCCCGAGGGCCAGGAAGGCUUUGGAAGUUGUCCUGAAUGAGGCUGGGAGCCAGGCCUUUGCACCUCUGUUGGACCAGGCUGUACCCAGGAGCUGCAUAACCUUGGGUGAGGCUGUUCUCUUGGUCAGAGGCAGUUUCCGGAGAGGGAGCCCCCUGCGGGCCAUUCAGCUAGCACUCCCUGCAGAUGGGAGAAGGGAAAACUCAAUUGUGGAAGGGUCACCCAGUUCCUGGGUCGUGGCCCUGUGCCAGGUGGGAGUCCCUGACACAGCCCCUGAAGGAGUUCGCAGUUUGCUGGGGGAUGGGCUGAGCAGAAGGGAAAAGCGCUGAUGUGGACUGAGCACCUGUUAUGUGCCGGGAUCCAUGUUAGGUUUUGCUUUGUCUAGUUUGAUCUCAUGACAUCUUCAUGAGUUCUGUGGCAUCCCCCCCAUCUUACAGAGGGGAAACUGAGGCAGAAAGGGGGCUGAUUUGCUCACGGUCACCCAGACAGGAAGCAGUGAGAGCAGGACAUGCUCUAACUCCUGACCCCUCCAAACUCCCUGAGGCUGAGGUGGUCAAAGGUCAGAUUCAUGCUUCUCCCCCCUCCCCCCCCCAGCGACCAGCAGGAAGCGAGGAGAGCCCCUCAUCAUCUCUGACAUCAAGAAGGGCAGCGUGGCACACAGGUAGGGCUGGCCCUGGGCACAGGGCAGGGGGAGUAAUCCAGGGGGAGUAGCGUGUGCCAGCCUCUUUCUGUCCCCCACCCCUGCUCAUGCAGGACCGGCACCCUUGAGCCAGGCGACAAGCUUCUGGCCAUCGACAAUAUCCGCCUGGACAACUGCCCCAUGGAGGACGCUGUGCAAAUCCUGCGGCAGUGCGAGGACCUGGUGAAGCUGAAGAUCCGGAAGGACGAGGACAACUCCGGUAUGGCCCCUGCCAGGCCCUGCCGCCUCUCGGUCCACCCCCGGAUGAUGCGUUCCCAGCUUGCAAUUUGGGGUUCCCUCUGGCCAAGGAGGGAGGGAGGCAGGCUGCUGGUGCAGGCUCCUUGAAUGAACAGAUGCAGGGAGGAGCCCCAGCACAGAUGUCUCACCAUCCCUGGGGCUGCCUGGAUCCUCUGCACCCAGCACAAAGCCUAGCAGAGGGGACCCCCAGGGGGCAGCAGCGAGCAGAUGAGUGGGCGGGGCAGGGAUGCCUCAAUGACUGCACCCUGCACGGGCAGUGUGUGAGUGAAGAAGUAAAAGCUGUGACACCUCUGAGGCCAGACAGGUGACAGAAGUGAGUGAACUGGACAGAAGGUAAGAGAAAUGUAUACAGGUUGGGGAGGCAGUAGGGAGGGGUGAGGCUUGUGGUCCCUGGAGAGCCAAUCCCUUAUUCAGAGAGGCAAUUCCUACCCUGGGAAGUAUGCUGUCUUGUGGGCAAAACUUCUUCUAAGUUUUCUUUUUUAAAGAAAGCUGGAAAUCUGGUUUCUUCUUCUCAUUAUUGUUAUUUUGUGUCAUGCAUGAAAUAUAUAUUUUAGAGUGUUGGGUUCAUGGUGUUUGGGUGCCAGAAAACAUUUCUGGAGGCAGAAGAUGGCAUCAGAGUCCCCGGGUUGUGCCAUCCAAAGUCAUGGCAGGAGUGAAUGGGUGAACUAACAAAUGAGUGAGUGCGAGUGGGAGUGAGUAAGGACACCAAGGUGUUGGGGGCUGGGGGCGUCCAUCUCCUGGGUCCUGCCCCACUGCACCCCGCCCUGAUAGGUGCCACCUUUGCAGAUGAACAGGAGACCACGGGUGCCAUUAGCUACACAGUGGAACUGAAACGUUACGGGGGUCCCCUGGGUAUCACCAUUUCGGGCACAGAGGAGCCUUUUGACCCCAUUGUCAUCUCAGGCCUCACCAAGCGUGGUCUGGCUGAGAGGUGAGCCAGGGUUCUGGGGGGGGGGGAUGCAUGGGGUGGGCCCAGGGACCCUCAUGGGGCAGGGGUUGUGCUUUGAGAACAGCUGAAGUGGAUUCUGACCUUGGUUCCAACGUUGACAUUCUGGGUGACAUCAGGACUGUCCCUUCCCUCUCUGAGCCUCAGUUCCACAGAGGUAGACCAGCCCCUCCCUGGCUGACCUCUCCAGCUUCAGUAGGUGCCAGAUAAAUGUAUGCCAACUCUCCUCUCUCUCCCAAUGUGGAGAUUCCUGGAGAUUUCUGGAAAGUCAGCAUUGUGAGCCUUUUUGGAGCACCUGCUGUGUGCCUUCAAUCCUGGCACAGCAUGGGGCUUUUCUGCAGGCAUUAUGGGCCCCCCUGCUGUCCUCUCCCCUGGGGAAGGUGUGAGAAAGAGGGUGCCCCAGGCUGGCCAGACUGGGGGGAGCAGGUGAAUCUGGGGCCCAGAGGUAGAACAGGGCCCCAUGGGGGUCACGGGGGGUGGUCCCAGUCUGGGCGAGAUGCAGCUUUCUCCAGCCACUGAGAGGAACUGGCUGUAAAGGGAGAGACUGGGCAGGUCUGGAGGGGGCAGGCUGGGCCCCUGGGGGAGGACACAAAGCAGGAAGGGCCACGUGGUGACAGGGUGCCGCAGUGGGACAGAGGGGGCUGAGGAGUGUGGUUCCUGGCUCCCUGUUGGUGUCCUUGCUCCCGGAGCGCCCCCUGCUGGCCCACUCCAGGGGCCAGUGUGGAUGGUUCCCACCUCAAGUAUGUUCAUCUACUCCCACGUUUACUGGGUACCUACUAUGUGGCGGCUCAUCCUGGACGCUGGGAGCACAACAGACAGUCCCCCGUGCCCUCACCAGGCUGAUCUAGCUUAGUGCUGUCUAGCUGCAGUGUAAUGCGAGCCACACAUUUAAUUAUCAACUUCCCGGUAGCCAUAUUAGAAAAAUAAAGAGAAAUAAAACGAAUCUUACGUAUGUAUUUAUUUCAACACGUAAUCAAUAUACAAAUGAUAAAUGAGAUAGUUUACACUAUUUUUUUAAUUGUGUCUUCAGAAUCUGGUGUGUCGUUUGCCUAAGUCAAGGCGUCUCAGUUUGUGGCAGCCACGCUAUGGGGCCCAGUAGCCACAGGCGGCUGCCGAACUGGACAGACCUCCCUCCCUCACUCAGCCCGCCACCCCCCUGACUUAGUCCCCUGGACUCCUGGGGAGCUUGGUGGGCGGUGCCCACCUGCAGCUGCUCUCCCUGCUCUCUCUCAGUGCUGGCUGUUCCUCAGGAUCCCCUUCCCCAGCCCGAUUCCCAGGGAUACCAUUUAAUUGGCCAGGCGUGGGGGCCAGGCGUGUGCAUGUUUAGAAAAGCUCCUCAGGUAAUUCUAAUGGUGUCCAGGCAGAAACCCACUGGACCGGAUCAAUGCUGCUGCCUGGCCUUGUCAGCCCCUUGCAUCCCCUUGUGAGGUCGCCCGGGCACCCUGUGCUCAUUCUCUAGGUGAGGAAGCUGAGGCCCAGGGAAAGGGAAAGGCUGUCCAUGGAGAGAAGCAUGAAUCCCUUCCACCCAUCCAUCUUUCAGUUAGAAUUAGGUAAAGUAAGUUUAUCACUCUCAUUUACGGGCUCCAGAUCAUGUGGUAGUUGACAGCUGCUCUGCGCGAUUCAGACCGUGCUCAGAACUCAUGCUUCACCCUGCUUCCAGAACCUGCCUUUACAGUCAGGCAGGAUAAUCCCUCCCCUCCCAAAUUCUAGACUUUGUACCUCCGUUCAUACCACCAGAGAUCACACUUGCCUUCUGUUGCAGCUGGGUUUGAUUGAGGUCCGUCGGGCUUGUGCCUUGGGGUUCCUGAGUUCCCUGAAGGCAGACCCCCACCCUGAAGCCUCGACUGUGUCUCGUUCUCUGUCCUGUGCCCCCUCCCCAGGACUGGCGCUAUCCACGUUGGGGAUCGCAUCCUGGCCAUCAACAGCGUCAGCCUCAAGGGCCGGCCUCUGAGUGAGGCCAUCCACCUCCUGCAGGUGGCUGGUGAGACUGUCACACUGAAGAUCAAGAAGCAGCUAGACCGUGAGCCUCACCCCAACACCUGGGGGCCCUCAGCCCAUGUGGGAACCCCUCUGUGCCCAGCCUCGUGGAAUCCCCACCAAACCCCACAGAGGUGGGAAGGCACCUGGGACAGCUGAGGAGAUGAGACCCAGAAGGGUCACAGCUUGUAUGGGGCAGAGUCUGGGCCUGAACCACCCACUGUCUUCAUCGCCUCCUGCCUCUCACAGCUGCUCGUUAUGCCUUCGGGCCGUACCUGUCCUUUCCUCAGUUUCCCCCGAUUUGUACCCUGUACCUUGGCAAGCGAGGCCACCGCCCGCCGUGGAAGGAGCCUUCAGGGUCUUCCUUCUGACCCGGGCCCCACUGUUGCUCACCCUGUGACCUUGGGCAUGUUGUGCACACACAAUGCCACGGGGGCUUCCCGAGGCCCAGCUCAGAGAACUCAGCCUCCGUUUUCCUGUCUGUGAAAUAGGUUUGCCCAUUGGUGCACCACCUCCCUCAUAUCAGGGGGCCCAGCAGUAGGCUUGGGGGGAGUGCUCAGUGCCUGUGAGUUCCCAAACCAGACUGAAGUGGGGAAACUGAGGCUCACUGAGCAUCUCUGUCUCUGAGGUCAGAGGCCAGUGGCAGUGACACCCCCUUUCCAUCCCAGGCCCCCUCCCACACCGCAAGUCGGGCAGCCUCAGCGAGGCCAGCGAUGCAGAUGAGGACCCUCCAGAGGCACUCAAAGGGGGCUUGCUGGCAGCUCGGUUCUCCCCUGCCGUGCCCAGCGUGGACAGCGCCGUGGAGUCCUGGGACAGCUCGGCCACAGAGGGGGGGUUUGGGGGCCCAGGUAACACUUCAUCGCCUAUAAGCAACAUGCUCUCUCUGGGCCGCCCCAGCUGCCAGGCCUUUGUAGGGGCUGCUCCUUCUGCCUAAUCCUUCCUCCUCCUCUCCCAGCUCCUUCCUUCAGGGACGCUUCCUGGAGGCAGACCCGCCUGGGCCACAUCAGCCAUUCCCAGGGCCCCUCACUGCUCAGAGCAUGGACCCCAGGCCUUCACACAUCUUUUGAUUAGCAUCCAUAGCACCUCAGCUGGCUAUUCAGAGUUCCCCACCCUGAGGUUAGGGACCAAGCUGGCCAUACUUCUGUCUUUGUCAUUCCCAGCCCAGUGCCCUGCACACGGCAGGUGCCCAAUCAAUGUUUAUUGCAUCCGUGGAGUCCUGGGCAAAAAACCCCUUCCCACCUCAUCCCGCAAGACCCAGCCUUAAAGCGGACACCUCCAGGCCACCCUCUUAGGACACGAGCUCCCCUGCCCAUGCGUGUUGAGACCCAUAGGUAGCUUUGGAGGUUGGGGGCAUUUGACUGCAGCAGCUGGCCUUCUGGCCUCUGCAACACAGAGCCACAGGGGCUCCCCAAGGCCAAGCUCAGAGAACUAGUGGAGCGAGGCUUCUAAGUGCCCUCAGGUGGCUCCCAGCCCCUGUCCUCACUGUCUGUAUAUCUGCCUUCCCUGGGGUCUCCGCUUCCCCAUCUCAAGUACUUGAUCAGUAUCUCUUAGCUUACUCCCAGGGCAGGGUCGUCAGAGCUCCCAAAGGCAGGCAGAGAGGAAUGGUCAAAAUAGUGAAAGUCCUUCCCGUGCAGGGGCAGCUGGGCGAAGCUUCUUGAUGGAGGCGGGACAGGGUCCUGGAGCCCUGGGCAUUAACUCUUCUGCUGGGUGAUUCAGAGGGUUCUGGGUGGCGGCCGGGCCCUCAGGGGACUCUGGGUAGUCAUGCAGGUCCAGACGGGGCAAAGACCUAUCCACGGUCACCCAGCACAGCUGGAAAAGGGGCAGAAAGGAGGGUGAGCUAUACCCUCUCAGACACCCCCCUCUCCACCUGCCAGGCUCCUACACUCCACAGGCGGCAGCUCGGAAUGUGACCCCCCAGGAGUGGCGGCCCAGCCGGCUGAGAAGCAGCCCCCCACCCACGGAGCCCCGGAGGACAAGCUACACCCCGGCCCCCACAGACGAGAGCUUCCCUGAGGAGGAGGAGGAGGAGGAGGAGGAGGAGGAGGACUGGGAGCCACCAACUAGGUCUGUGGUGGCAACGC
rnacentral:lncRNA from 1 species